CUCCUUUCGGAUAUCUCAUUGAGCUGAGAUGUCCCUGAAGAUGUCCAAUGUGAGACUAUGCUAUUAUGUUUGAGAUAGGUCUGAAAUAUUUCACUAAGGUAUUCUCCUCCUCAAUCUGAUCAAAGAAUCUUUAUAGAUUUUUCGAUCUAUUUUUCUACUUCAUGUCUGAACUCUAUGAAUUUUUCAAAGGCUUCAGACUUUUGAUGCAUCA
rnacentral:lncRNA from 1 species